ensembl:miRNA
UGUAGAGCAGACUGGAUUCUCUGUCUCCCUUUUUAGAACGGAGGAUCUUUUUUGCUCUGCAGU